rnacentral:rRNA from 1 species
AGUGAACGCUGGCGGUAGGCCUAACACAUGCAAGUCGAACGGCAGCACAGUAAGAGCUUGCUCUUACGGGUGGCGAGUGGCGGACGGGUGAGGAAUACAUCGGAAUCUACUUUUUCGUGGGGGAUAACGUAGGGAAACUUACGCUAAUACCGCAUACGACCUACGGGUGAAAGCAGGGGAUCUUCGGACCCUGCGCGAUUGAAUGAGCCGAUGUCGGAUUAGCUAGUUGGCGGGGUAAAGGCCCACCAAGGCGACGAUCCGUAGCUGGUCUGAGAGGAUGAUCAGCCACACUGGAACUGAGACACGGUCCAGACUCCUACGGGAGGCAGCAGUGGGGAAUAUUGGACAAUGGGCGCAAGCCUGAUCCAGCCAUACCGCGUGGGUGAAGAAGGCCUUCGGGUUGUAAAGCCCUUUUGUUGGGGAAGAAAAGCAGCAGGUUAAUACCCCGCUGUUCUGACGGUACCCAAAGAAUAAGCACCGGCUAACUUCGUG